ACGGGUGAGUAACGCGUAGGAAUUUACCUUGUAGUGGGGGAUAACUUGGGGAAACCCAAGCUAAUACCGCAUAAGCCCUAAGGGGGAAAGCGUGGGACCGAAAGGCCACGUGCUAUGAGAUGAGCCUGCGUCGGAUUAGCUAGUUGGUAGGGUAAAGGCCUACCAAGGCGUAGAUCCGUAGCUGGUCUGAGAGGACGACCAGCCACACUGGGACUGAGACACGGCCCAGACUCCUACGGGAGGCAGCAGUGGGGAAUAUUGGACAAUGGGCGCAAGCCUGAUCCAGCAAUGCCGCGUGUGUGAAGAAGGCCUGCGGGUUGUAAAGCACUUUCGGUGGGGAGGAAGGCCUGAUGGUUAAUAGUCAUCAGGAUUGACGUUACCCACAGAAGAAGCACCGGCUAACUCUGUGCCAGCAGCCGCGGUAAUACAGAGGGUGCGAGCGUUAAUCGGAAUUACUGGGCGUAAAGGGUGCGUAGGUGGUUACUUAAGUUAGAUGUGAAAUCCCCGGGCUUAACCUGGGAAUGGCAUUUAAGACUGAGUAGCUAGAGUUUGGUAGAGGGAAGUGGAAUUUCCGG
rnacentral:rRNA from 1 species